rnacentral:rRNA from 1 species
UGGGGAAUAUUGCACAAUGGAGGGAACUCUGAUGCAGCGACGCCGCGUGAACGCAGAAGGCUUUCGAGUCGUAAAGUUCUUUUAUAUGGGAAGAUAAUGACGGUACCAUAAGAAAAAGCCCCGGCUAACUACGUGCCAGCAGCCGCGGUAAUACGUAGGGGGCUAGCGUUGUCCGGAAUCACUGGGCGUAAAGGGUUCGCAGGCGGAAAUGCAAGUCAGGUGUAAAAGGCAGUAGCUUAACUACUGUAAGCAUUUGAAACUGCAUAUCUUGAGAAGAGUAGAGGUAAGUGGAAUUUUUAGUGUAGCGGUGAAAUGCGUAGAUAUUAAAAAGAAUACCGGUGGCGAAGGCGACUUACUGGGCUCAUUCUGACGCUGAGGAACGAAAGCGUGGGUAGCAAACAGG